GUUCUUAUAGUUGAAUAACAACGGCGGUUUUUCAGGUCGUAAGUUUUGGUUUAAGACCAAAUAAGAAUA
rnacentral:tRNA from 1 species